UAGAGUUUGAUCAUGGCUCAGGGUGAACGCUGGCGGCGUGCUUGACACAUGCAAGUCGAACGGUAUGUGGCAACACAUAGAGUGGCGAACGGGUGAGUAACACGUGGGAACGUAUCUUUUGCAGGGGGAUAACUGACCGAAAGGACAGCUAAUACCGCAUAAGUCCGGGAGGAGAAAGGUGCAACAGCAUCGGCAGAAGAGCGGCCCGCGGUCCAUCAGCUAGUUGGUGAGGUAAGGGCUUACCAAGGCGACGACGGAUAGCCGGCGUGAGAGCGUGGCCGGCCACAAGGACACUGAGAUACGGGUCCUACUCCUACGGGAGGCAGCAGUGCGGAAUUUUAGAUAAUGGAGGGAACUCUGAUCUAGCGACGCCGCGUGCAGGAAGAAGGUCUUCGGAUUGUAAACUGCUGUGGUAAGGGAAAAAUGCUAUGUAGAGUGGAAAGCUACAUAGAGGGAUGGUACCUUACUAGAAAGCCCCGGCUAACUACGUGCCAGCCGCCGCGGUAAUUCA
rnacentral:rRNA from 1 species